UUUAAUUCUGUCAAUUACGUACAUUUAACCCAACAUUUGGGUUCUCUAUCGAAAACUCAAAUUUGAGUAAAAAUCAACUUGUUCAAUUUAUUGCAGUCAUUUAGGCUGCGUUCUAGCCGUUGGGUAAUUUAAACACAAUUUUGGAUGAAAAAAUGUAGCAGCCACUUUAAAAUGUCAACACAGAUUAUUCCAUGUUAGUCAUCGUCGGUGAAGGAUGUAAAUCGUGAUCGUUUUUUAAAAAAUACUCGCAACAUUGGUGGAUUAGUGUAGUGAUAUUUCAAAGAUCCUCAGUUGUCCUGGGUCCAUUAUCAUCCCGUAAUAACUACUGUUUGCCGUCCCUGCCACUCGUUGUGAAUGAUUUGCGGAACCGAGAUGCUGGUUACUGAUCUCAAAAGAAUUACCGCAGUGAUUUCGACAGAUGGCAUCCCGCCCCGAGCUUUGUUUUCCCGUUCCAGCCACUCUGUGCCACCGCCUAAUCACAGUAAAUUUUUACACCCGAUACGAAAUGUUUUUUUGCACCGAAAACGUCGCCCUUGGCAUCCACGUCGUUGAGUAAAAGCUUCAAACGAAUAAAGGUUUUUUUAAAUUAAA